UACAGAGACUGCAAGCGUUAUUCGGAUUCACUGGGCGUAAAGGGUGCGUAGGUGGGAAGGUAAGUCAGUGGUGAAAUCCCCGAGCUUAACUUGGGAACUGCCAUUGAUACUAUCUUUCUUGAAUACCUUGGAGGUGAGCGGAAUAUGUCAUGUAGCGGUGAAAUGCUUAGAUAUGACAUAGAACACCAAUUGCGAAGGCAGCUCACUACACGGUCAUUGACACUGAGGCACGAAAGCGUGGGGAUCAAACAGG
rnacentral:rRNA from 1 species